GCAGCCGCGGUAAUUCCAGCUCCAAUAGCGUAUACUAAAGUUGUUGCGGUUAAAAAGCUCGUAGUUGGAUCUUGGAAUGUGUUCAAGCGGGUCAGCUUCUGGCUGUGCGCUGCUUGACGUGUUCUUCUAUUUGGUUUUGGUGCGGUGCGCUUAACUGCGUGUCGCUCCCGGCCGAAACGUUUACCUUGAAAAAAUUAGAGUGUUCAAAGCAGACCUGUUUGAGUCUGAAUAUUCGUGCAUGGAAUAAUGAAAUAUGAAUUCGGUUCUAUUUUGUUGGUUUUCGGAACUCGAGUUAAUGAUCAAGAGGGACAGACGGGGGCAUUCGUACUCUGCCGUUAGAGGUGAAAUUCUUGGAUCGGCGGAAGACGCGCAACUGCGAAAGCAUUUGCCAAGAAUGUUUUCUUUAAUCAAGAACGAUAGUCGGAGGUUCGAAGACGAUCAGAUACCGUCCUAGUUUCGACUGUAAACUAUGCCAGCUAACGAUCAGACAGAGUUCUCUACGACUUGUCUGGCAGUUUCCGGGAAACCAAAGCGUUUGGGUUCCGGGGGAAGUAUGGUUGCAAAGCUGAAACUUAAAGGAAUUGACGGAAGGGCACCACCAGGAGUGGAGCCUGCGGCUUAAUUUGACUCAACACGGGGAAACUCACCCGGCCCGGACACAGUGAGGAUUGACAGAUUGAGAGUUCUUUCUUGAUUCUGUGGGUGGUGGUGCAUGGGCCGUUCUUAGUUGGUGGAGCGAUUUGUCUGGUUAAUUCCAAUAACGAACGAGACUCUGGCAUGUUAAAUAGUCGCGGAAGUGCGUAUGCACUUUGCCGAAUUGACUUCUUAGAGGGACUAGUGAUUUUAAUUCACACGAGAUUGAGCAAUAACAGGUCUGU
rnacentral:rRNA from 1 species